GCUAACGAACAGUCUUCUUCUUCUUCUCGGUAUCGAAACUCGUUUACCGAAGCUGGAAAAGCCUGAAAGGGAAGAAGAAAGGUUGGAAGGAAGACGAAUCGAGAGACUGAUCGUGAAACUAGGGUUGGAAAGAGGAAAAAAUGGAUUUGGGAUUUUUCUUUUUUUUACAAAAAGAGAAAAUAGUUAAGUUUUAGAAAACUUAUUAAUUUUAGCCUCUCUCGGCGCGCCACGUGGCCUAAGAAUCGAGGUCGAACGCUUCUUAUCGAACAAGCGGAUAGAUCUUAAGAAAACACUGUUUUCAU
rnacentral:lncRNA from 1 species